GACGAACGCUGGCGGCGUGCUUAACACAUGCAAGUCGAACGGUGAAGCGCCUUCCUUUUUGGAGGGUGUGGAUGAGUGGCGAACGGGUGAGUAACACGUGAGUAACCUGCCCCCUUCUUCUGGAUAACCGCAGGAAAGUGUGGCUAAUACGGGAUAUUCGGGGUCUGUCGCAUGAUGGGUCUGGGACAGAUAUUGUUUCGGUGGGGGAUGGGCUCGCGGCCGAUCAGCUUGUGGGUGUGGUGGUGGCCUACCAAGGCGGUGACGGGUAGCCGGCCUGCGAGGGUGGGCGGUCACACGGGGACUGAGGCACGGCGCCGCGGCCCACGGGAGGCAGCAGUGGGGAAGAGGGGACAAUGGGCGAAAGGCCGAUGGCGCGACGCCGCGAGAGCGAGGGAGGCCUGAGGGCUGUGAGCCUCUUUCGCUAGUGAAGCAGGCCUGCCUCGUCUGUGGGUGUGUUGACGGUAGCUGGAGAAGAAGCGCCGGCUAACUACGUG
rnacentral:rRNA from 1 species